UACGGAGGGUGCGAGCGUUGUCCGGAAUCACUGGGCGUAAAGGGCGCGUAGGCGGCCUGGUAAGUGGGCGGUGAAAGCCCGGGGCUCAACCCCGGGGCGGCCGUGCGGACUGCCGGGCUGGAGCACUGUAGAGGCGGGUGGAAUUCCGGGUGUAGCGGUGGAAUGCGUAGAGAUCCGGAAGAACACCGGUGGCGAAGGCGGCCCGCUGGGCAGUGGCUGACGCUGAGGCGCGACAGCGUGGGGAGCAAACAGG
rnacentral:rRNA from 1 species